GAUAAUCUGAUGUAUGUUUCCUAUGAAGGGUAGUCUCCAUGGUCCAGGUGGUAAGUUGGGGUUAGAAUAUUUAGAAGUAGUCCAUGUUUUAACUAUUUUGAAUAGUAGGAAGAGGAAGAGAAAGGAUGCCAUUAAGGUAAAGCUAGAAAAAAUGUUGGGAAGGUCCAUGAUUGUAGAGCUAAGGGAAGAAGAAUGCAAAGAUGAAGGUAUCUAAACAAUGUUGUUCUUUAAAGUAGUACAAUAAUACAAAACUAAUAUAAAGAGUCCUAUUGUAAAGCAGAAUACAAUAUAAAGAUACCGAUUUGUCCCAUGCACUAAGCAUGAGAAUACUAUAUUAUUUUGAUUGCACCUACCACGCUCAUUUCGCCCUGUUCUUUUUCUUUAUAAAUAUAUACUAUUUUAUGAAGAUACACAUGACGCAUAAAUUCAUCUCUUUCGGUAACAGCAUAAACUUAUCUACUACUCCUGCAGAAUCACAUUAAGUUUGGGACUUUGGUAGUGAUUGGAUUACCGAUGAGAAAUGGUUUCAAAUUGUUUUUUGAUUCAUUUACAUGUUUAUAAAACAAAGAUUCAGGACUGCGAUUUCCGCCUAUAUCUCGUUCAUGUAAAAAUCUCGUUUUUCAUUUUGUUAUGAAAAUUCAUAUUCUUGAAAAAAUAAAAUAGAUAAAAAUGUUCGUAUCUCAUUUUAGAGCAUUAUGAUCCCAAUAAAUCGUCUACUUUCAUAUUGAGGGCCAAGCUUAUUUUUAAAAAGAGCUUUUUGGGUUAAACUAAAUAAUAGUAUAUUUGUAGAUAUGGUUUAACCGUCUUGUCUUUUUUGGCUCAGAUAUCAAUCCUACCUUUUUAAGUAUAUCAAUUGAUAUCUAAGGAUCACUAUAACAAAACAAGUUUUCGAGUGACAUAAUUUUGCAUCGGGAUAAAUAUGUAAAAAAAAAAAAAGAUGUUGCGAUGUCGCUGUAUGUUUUAGAUAAUAAAAUAAUAGAAUUUAGGCUUUCACAUGGAAAAAUACGAGAAAUUUAAAAUGAAAAUGUUGCGGCGUGUAAAACACGCCGUAACAUACAUUUUAAAAUAUAUAAAAAAAGGCGUCAAGUUUUCACAUAGGGAAGGUUGAAUUUUUCAAUAAAUUAAUUUGCGGCGUGAAAAAUAUGUCACAAACACAUUUCAAAAAUAAAAGAAUUGAGAGAAAAACUUUGACCGUUGGAAUUGAUUGAUAUGCAGGUUAACUAACACCUUUAAAUUGACAUCAUAUAUUUCACAUCGCAAUCUUUUUACAAUUUUGAGUCUUGUUAAUUAUUAAUAAUUAAUAGUCUUGAGUGUGUUCCAAAAUGACAAGAAAAUAUUCAAGUGAAGAUUAAUUUUUGAAUUCAGAAAUAGACAACACUUGUGAAAUGUUGUAGUAGGUUUGAAUUCAGAAAUGGAAAAUACUUGUGAAGUGUUGCAGUAAGUUUGAAUUCGGAAAUAGACAAUACUUGGUGAAGCGGUAUAGAAUGCGAAACAAUGCAACUUUUGAAAAUACAUGCAUUGGCGCGUGCACAAAUUUACUAAUUUCUUUUUAACUCAUUAUCCUCCAAUCAAGUUCAACUUGAAUUUUUUUUUAAUAUCAAAAAGAAAAUAUGAGAAUUGUAUGUCUCUUAUCACACAAUAUAUGUGUUAGCUGUAAUUUCGACGCUCAAAAAGAUAUAAGAAGUCAAGUAUAAAAUUUAAGAAAAUAUUUGGAAGAAAUCCAAGCUGACUUCGACAGGAGUUAGACAAAGCCUUUCGACUGGAAUUUGGAAAAGAAAUUAUUAUAUUGUCGAAAUAGGGUUAUAGGAUUUAGAAGUUUCUGAAACGGUUCGAAGAUGAGUUCGACAAAGAUAAUUCAAAAUGAGGUUAAUAACCAUAUUUUGAUCUUAUCCAUUCCUUCAAAGGACGUGUGAAGGCCUAUGAAAGGCGAGACACAUGCAAGCCAGAACGUAUCAUUUUCAGGAUAAAAGACCGUUUAUUACCGUUACUGACGAAGUAAUAUAUAUAAGAGUCUUAACAUUAGGAUUCAGAGGGUCCAAUAUUGUAUCAAACUCAAAAUCACUCAAAGUAUCUAAGUGUUAUUGAAAAAGGAGUUUUCCAAGAAUAUGUACGUAUGAAACACCAUAUUUUCAUUCGAUGUCAACUUAUUUACAUUAAAGUCAUCUUGAUUCCAUCUACAUUCCUGUUGAAACUAUGUUAUUUCUUCAUACUUUCCAUAAACCUUCUUUGCAUUACUUUUAUUUUAAACAUUAUCGUUGAAGAACUUACUAGUAAAACAAACCUUAAAUAAAAAGUACACACAUAUGUCAUAGGAUCAAUCUAUUCGAUCUUGUAAGAAACCAAAGUAUCAAUUUUGGAAGACUAGCGCUUGUUUACCAAAAUCCAAGGUAAACAAAUUGGAACAUCCAGUGGGACCCUUGUGUCUAGUUUUCUAUUGUAUUUGAAACAAAUUUUGCAUUAGUUCUUCAUACAAAUUUUUCUCAAACUUAGUUGCAUGAGAUUGAGAAGUGGUACGGUAGCCAAAAAUAACGCAUCAAAACCAAAAAGGAAAUACGUUAGAAAGAUGAUUAAUCCACUAAACAACAAGGAGAACAACCUCCUCAUUCGAUAGGAGAGAAUACAACUACAUCAAAUGUAACCGAAACAAUGCCUUCUACGACAAGCACGACGACAAUACCGUCGAGCGCACAAAGUGGAACAAUAUUAUCAUCCCCCGUGCGAACGCAGGGGCAACCAAUAACCCCAAGACCAGUAGGGACCAGUAGUUUUAGGCCUUACGUGACAGGGUUUACAAUUCCAAUGAAUGGUCACGAAUAACCAUAUGGCAUGCCAACUUCUACGAUGACAAAUUUGCAUAAUAGCAUGUCAAUAUUUAUUGAUCCAAUGGCGACUAUAAUUUCGUCGUUACAAGGGUCAGGAUCGGCCGUUAACAAUUUGGGUCAAAGUACCCAACCCUCAGGGGUGGGAUUUUCUGUCCAAUUACCCACUUUCACAACCAAUUUUACGGCGGUAUUAAGGAAGCAAAUGGACGAAAGCAACCAUGAGAUGGUUCAUAUGUUUUCCCAACUAUGGGGGCGAUAUUCAAUCCUCUAAUCCAAAAUACUACCCAAACUAAUCAGCAAAAUGCUCAAACUAAUAAGCAAUUGUCAGCGCAGAUGACGCGAAUUGCAGAUUUCUUUGGCGCCCAUCAAGCGUCAGUUCGACAACCUCGUCGAGAAUUGAUGGUAGAGAACCAGGGUUUGAUCUUAGAAGAAGACCUAACAAUAAAUCAGGCCCAACAAUUUGUACUUAAUGGUGUCAAAGUCGACCAGGGCUACUAUUUACAUGUUUAUAAAAGAAAGAUUCAGGACUGUAAUUUCCGCCUAUAUCUAGUUCAUGUAAAAAUCUCGUUUUUCAUUUUAUUAUGAACAUUCAUAUUCUUGAAAAAAUAAAAUAGAUAAAAAUGAUUGUAUCUCAUUUUAGAGUGUUAUGAUCUUAUUUUGAACCAAUGAAUCGUCUACUUUCAUAUAGAGGUUCAUUAAUUAUUUGAGGGUCCUUUAAGCGCUUAUUUUUAAAAGAGUUUUUUCGGUUAAAUCAGAGAUAUAUUUGUAGAUAUGGUUUAACCGUCUUGUUUUUUAGGCUCGGAUAUCAAUCAUAUCCUUUUAAUGUAUCGAUUGAUAUCUAAGGAUCAUUAAAAAAAAAAAAGCUCCCAGCAACAUGAUUUUGCAUCAAGAUAAAUAUGUGACAAAAAAAAGGAUGUUGCGACAUGUUUAUCAUAUCGUUAUAUGUCUUAAAUAUUAAAUAAUUGAAGUCAGGUUUUCACAUGGGAAAAGAUGAAAACUUUAAAAUGAAAAUAUAUAAAAAAGGCUUCAAGUUUUCACAUAGGGGAGGGUUGAAAUUUUCAAUAAAUUAAUUUGUGGCGUAGAAAAUAUGUCGCAAACUGCAUUUCAAAAAUAAAAAAAAAUUGAGAGGAAAACUUUGACUAUUAGAAUUGAUUGAUGUGCAGGUUAACUGACACCUUUAAAUUGGCAUCAUAUAUUUCACAUAGCAACCUUUUUACCAUUCUGACUAUCGUAAAUUAUUAAUAAUUAAUAGUCUUGAGUGUGUUCCAAAAUGACAAGAAAUUUUUCAAGUAAAAAUUAAUUUUUGAAUUCAGAAAUAGUUUACACUUGUAAAGUGUUGUAGUAUGUUUGAAUUCAAAAAUAGAAAAAACUUGUAAAAUGUUACAGUAUGUUUGAAUUCGAAAAUAUGCAACACUUGAUAAAGUGAUGCAGAAUGCAAAAUAGUGCAAUUGAUGAAAAUACAUGCAUUGACACGUAUACAAAUUCACUACUUAUUUCUUUUUAACUCAUUAUCCUCCAAUGAAGUUCAACUUGAUUUUUUUUUAAUAUAAAAAAGAAAAUAUGAGAAUUGUAUGUCUCUUAUCACACAGUAUAUAUGAAACUUUAAAAUGUUAUGUUUAUAAUGAUAGUUAAAUUUUUAACCAUUCAUAGAAUAUCCAUAAAUUGUAGUAAUUAUGUAAUUUCUAUACUAUUUUUAAAAUCAAUUAUCAAAUCCAAUGUUUUAAAAACUAAACUGAACCGGUUCAUUCAAUCGGUUGGACUGGGAAUCAGAGAUGAAACUGGUUGGGUCAAUCUUUUAAAAUUACUAGUGGGUCAAAACCAAAGUAAAAUCGGAAAAACCGGAUUGAGUCGUCCAAAACCAUUCAAACCAAAGAACCGAAGUUGGUUUUGUAAAAUCCCCCGGUUAAAAAAAAUCCAUCAAAUUGAUCAUUUUUUAAAUUUUUUUAUAAAUUUGAUGUGUCAAUAUUAAAACCUAACAUACAUUCACAAUCACAAAAAAAAACUUCUAAAUUUUGUCACUUCAUUAUAGUUUUUCUUUCAACCACACUUCAUCAUCAUCACUCCUUCUCUUUCAAACAUAGUCACGAUAUCCAACUCGAUAUUGAUUGUCGUUCAAGUUAAUAUUAUUUGUUGUUGUCAAUUAAGAUUUAUUUGUCAUAGUUCAAUUCAAAUUCGUUUUUUUUCUUUAAUGAAGUAUAUUAUAUUAUUUAUUUUUUAUAUUUUAUCUUAUUUAAUUUACGUAUUCUUAAUUAUUUGAACUUUAUUUUAGUUAUUAUAUUCUUUUAUUUUAGUUUUGAUUUAAAUUAGUUUAACUUAGUUUAUUGUAAUUCUUUAAUUUGAUCAAAUUGUUCUUAAAUGAAUGUAAAUGAAGUAUAGAACUAUGUUAUGUUAUUAUAUGUAUUAUCGAUAUUGUUGUAUUAAAUUUGUAAUAAAUUUUUUAAAUAUUUAUUUUAUUAAGUUGUGAACAUAUGAUUAUGUGUGACAUAUUUAUGAAAUUUACUUUUAUAUUAUUAGUUUAUUUAAUAAACGGUUCGACCGUAGAUUUAAUCGGUUGAACCAAUUGAACCUUAAACCGUAAAUUUCAUCGGUUCGAUCUUCGAUUCGAUUUUUAAAGCAUUGAUCAAAACUGAAAAUCUUCACAUGAUAAAAUAUCAAUUUUAACAUUUCUGAGAGAUUUCAUUAAAAUGUCACUUUAAAGAGAUUUCAUUAUGAGAAAAAACACGAGUUUUAGAGAGAGAAGCUCCCCCUCUCUCAAAACUAGGCUUUCCUUUUUUGGUGAGAACAACCUCCCCUCCAGUAUGGGCUCUUCUUCCGUCAUCAGAGCUUUUCACCACCAGAAUGGUGGCUAUGUCCUCCUCAAUGGUGGCUCCCCCCAAUUGUAAGUGUUGCUCCUUCCUUUCUUUUUCCUUUGAAACACUCGACCAUGUUAGAUCCACACAGUUUUCUACCCUCAACCUCCAUUAAGUUCUUUAUCCUCUUAACCAUCAACUAUCAAUCGUUUGUUACUCCAAAAUCAAUUCCACAAACUACUGGGACAAGGUGUUGUGGUCAUGAAAAACGGCCUCCACCAUCGGAAGCUUUGAAAUUUCUGAGUUUAUGUGUGUGUUCAUGUAUUGAUUAAUAUUAUUAUGUUUAUGUGUUAUGAGUGAGACAAGUCCAAUUGAUACAAGUGAGGUGAAUGAAGAAUGGAAUGAUGACGUGGCAAAGGAGAAGGCAGUGAGACACAGCAAGAGAAGCAAGGGAGAGCAUCCAAUGUGGACCCAGUUUGUUAGGAAUUGAGAUAAUAUUAAUAGUGGGGUAGCUAUUAUAGUGGUGUGAAUUUGUAUGAGAACAUUCUUUCUCUCUCUUAUCUCUCUGAUUCACCACACAUUUGGAAUAUUGUACUAUUCGUCUUAUUUCCGUUAUUUCCCUUUUACCAAUUGUAUUUCUUCCCUGCUCAGAGUUGCAGUGGAAUUCAUAUUUCAAUUUCACUAUCCAUACUCAUCCUUCAUUGCUGUUAUUUUACUUGAUCCCAUUGCAAUGCCAUUACACUAGUGCUUUCAUUUCAUCCAUGGCCGACAACACCAGAAUGAAGGAGCUAGCAGCUGAGGUACGACGCCAAGGUGAAGUCCUGGAGCAGAACGAAAGCAUCAAUGCUGCUCGUUUUGAGCGAAUGGAGACGAUGCAGCAGGCAUCGGAGUCACGAUUUGCAGAGCUAUCCACAUCGAUGAGUAUGAUGCUGAACAAAUGCAAGCUAUAGUCGUCACCCAUGGAAGCACGAACUCAGGGACUCAUUCAUCAUCGUCAGGAAUGCUUAUACCCCACCCUCCUUUCAUGUUCGCAACAUCAAGCUGGAGUUUCCAAGGUUUAAUGGUAAGAAUGUUUUAGAUUGGAUUUUCAAGGCUGAACAAUUUUUGGCUUUAUCAUACCCAGAUACGGAGAGAUUGAUUACUGCUUCAGUUCAUCUUGAGCACGAAGUAUUCUGUGGUUCCAAAUGGUUACUAGAUCUCAACCAUUUCAAUCAUGGAACGAUUUUUACAAGAGCUCUUGAAUUGGACUUUGGGCCCUCAAUUUAUGAUUGUCCGAGAGCAUCUUUGUUUAAAUUGCAACAAACAAAAGCUGUUAAUGAUUAUUAUCUGGAAUUUACUGCAUUGUCCAAUCAUGUUUAUGGCUUAAGUAAUGAUGCAUUAAUUGAUUGUUUUGUAAGUGGAUUGAAAGAGGAAAUUCGUAGAGAUGUUAUGCUGCAUUAUCCUAUUUCAAUUGUGAAAGCUGUGUCUAUUGCCAAGUUAUUUGAGGAAAAAUUGGCUGCUAAGAAUAUUGUGUUUGUUCCAAAGAAAUCAUCUUACCACCAAAAUAGAACUCACUUCAAUCCAACCAGAAAUGACCAAACACAAGCUACCGAAAAAGCCCUCAACCCACCCUUACUUCCAACACCUCCUACUAGACCUAUGAGCCAACUCCAAAAGAAUCCUGCAAUCAAAAGGAUUUCUCCAGCUGAGAUGCAGUUAAGAAGAGAGAAAGGUUUGUUUUACUUUUGCGAUGAUAAAUUAUCUUUCUCACAUAAGUGCCCAAACAAACAAUUGAUGUUAUUAGAGCUGCAUGAUGAUCCUGAUACCCUUAUUUCAAAUAGCUCAACAGCCAUAAAUCUUACAGCAGAUAAUGAAGAGAUGACAGAGCAUCAUUUAUCUCUUAAUGCUUUACAUGGAGCUACAGGAAUGGGUAUUAUCAGAUUUAAAGGUUAUAUUGGUCCUAUUAGUGUUUCUAUCUUGCUUGAUGGAGGAAGUUCCGACAGCUUUAUUCAGCCACGUAUUGUACACUGCUUAAAUCUAGCUGUGGAACCAACUAAAGGGUGCAAGGUCCUGGUGGGUAAUGGACAAAAUAUGAAGAUUGAAGGUGUGAUCAAGAGCAUGUCUAUGAAGAUACAGGGCAUUGAGAUUAUUGUGCCUGCAUAUCUCUUGCCGGUAGCAGGGGCUGAUGUCAUAUUACGAGCACCAUGGUUGGCUUCAUUAGGACCGCAUGUAGCUGACUAUGCUACAUCUAUGUUAAAAUUUUAUUUAUAUGGGAAGUUUGUCACAUUGCAAGGUGAAGAUAGCAACAAACCGAUAGUAGCUCAGCUGAGUGAGUUGUUCACUAUUCAAAAGAUCGAUCUAGCGGUUAUAGGGGACAAUUGGAAUGACAGAACAAUUAAUCUUGAACCUGAAAUGAGUACAUUGUUGCAUACAUACAAGGAGAUUUUUCAAAUACCUAAAGGAUUACCUCCCAAGAGAGAAUUGACUCAUGAGAUAUAUUAAAGAGGAAGCACAACUGUGAAGGUAAGACCAUAUAGAUAUCCUCAUAGUCAGAAACAACAAAUUGAAAAACUGUGCAUGACAUGCUUGAAGAAGCAUAAAUCCGACCAAGUCUAAGUCCAUUUUCAUCUCCAAUUAUCUUAGUGAAAAAGAAAGAUGGCACUUGGAGAUGUUGUCCGGAUUAUAGAGCUUUAAAUGCCAUAACUAUACAGGCAGUUUUCCCAUGCCUACUGUGGAUGAACUACUUGAUGAGUUACACGGAGCAAAGUUUUUUUCGAAACUUGAUCUUCGUUCGGUUAUCACCAGAUUCUUCUCAAGCAAGAGGACAAGCAGAAAACGGCUUUUAGAACUCACCAAAGGCCAUUACGAGUGGUUAGUGAUGCCUUUCGGGCUCACAAACGCACCAGCUACAUUCUAAAGACUUAUGAAUCAGCUAUUCCAACCGUUGUAAGAAAAAUGCGUUCUCUUUUCUUUGACGAUAUUCUAGUGUAUAGCCCUUCAUGGCAGUCACAUUUGCAACAUGUAGAAAUUGUGUUCCAAAUUCUAAGUCAGAAUGUGUUGUUCGCCAAGUUAUCCAAAUGCUCAUUUGGGUUAUCCGAAGUGGAAUACCUCAGUCACAUCGUUUUCGGGGCUGGUGUAUCAAUGGUUAGCAUAAAGGUCCAAGCUGUGCUAGAUUGGCUUAUUCCAACAAACUUGAAACAGUUGCGCGAAUUUCUUGGCCUCACCGGUUACUAUCGAAGAUUUAUCAAGUCUUAUGCAACCAUAGCCGGCCCCCUCACUAAUCUAUUAAAGAAAGACGCCUUUAGGUGGGAUGAAAACACUCAAAGAGCUUUUGAGCAAUUAAAAACGACAAUCACUUCCGCACAUGUGUUAGUGUUACCAGAUUUCUCCCAAGAGUUUAUCCUUGAGACAGAUGCUUCGGGUACAGGGGUGGAAGCAGUACUAAGCCAAGGAGGACAUCCCAUCGCCUUCUUUUCGAAGAAAUUGACUCCACGAAUGCAACUUCAAUCAGCCUAUACACGUGAAUUUUAUGCUAUUACAGCAGCAUUAGCUAAGUUCUGGCACUAUUUACUGGGUCAUAAAUUCAUCCUGCGAACAUACCAAAAGAGCUUAAAAAGUUUGUUAGAUCAAUCCCUCCAAACCCCUGAGCAGCAAGUUUGGCUUCAUAAAUUCAUCGGAUUUGAUUUCCGUAUCAAAUAUAAGCCAGGCAAGGAUAAUUAAGCAGCUGAUGCAUUAUCCAGAAUGAUGUCGUUAUCCUUAUCAGCACCGGAGUGUGAGUUUUUAGAGGAAUUAAAGCAAGAAAUUGCUGAGGAUGAACAUUUAUAGUUAAUAGUACAACAAUGCCUUGAUAAUCAUGUGAUCAAUGAUAACUAUUCGGUGAAAGAUGGAUUAUUGUAUUGGAAACACAGAUUGGUAAUUCCUGUUGAGAGUAGCUUGAUUCAAAACAUUCUCAAAGAGUAUCAUGACACACCUAUAGGGGGACACGCGGGAGUGACCAGAACUCUUGCUAGGGUGGCGUCUCAGUUUUAUUGGCCUAAUAUGCGACAACAUGUGCAGAAAUUCAUUGAAGCUUGUAUCAUCUGUCAACAAGCUAAGCCUGUUAAUACUCCUUAUGCAGGCCUGUUGCAACCAUUGCCAAUUCCUGAACAGGUUUGGGAAGAUAUCGCAAUGGAUUUUAUUACGGGCUUACCCCCGUCUUCUGGUUUCACUGUGAUCAUGGUAGUAGUGGACACAUUAAGUAAGUAUGCUCAUUUCAUGCCCUUGAAAUCUGAUUACUCUAGUAAAACAGUUGCUGAGGCAUUUAUGCAUAAUGUGGUUAAACUACAUGGAAUGCCUAAGUCAAUAGUGUCUGACAGAGAUAAGGUAUUCACUAGUAAAUUUUGGCAACAUCUCUUUCAAUUACAGGGCACAACUUUAGCGGUGAGUUCCACUUAUCACCCCCAAACGGAUGGACAAUCUGAAGCUGUCAAUAAGUGCUUAGAAAUGUAUUUGAGGUGUUUUUCUUUCAAGAAUCCAAAGGCAUGGUCAAAAGCUCUCACGUGGGCGGAACUGUGGUAUAAUACGGCGCUGCAUUCAAGCUUGGGGAUGUCUCCAUUCAAAGCUUUAUACGGGCGGGAACCUCCUAGGCUAACUCGUUACAACGCUACCAAUGUUGAUCCAAUGGAGUUGCAGCAACAGUUAUUGGAAAGAGAUAGAAUUUUAGCUGAAUUGAAAGAGAAUUUGGGGAGAGCUCAACAGGUGAUGAAGGCCAAUGCAGAUAAGAAACGAAGCCAUGUUUCUUUGGAGAUUGGUGAUCAAGUUUUGGUUAAGUUGCAACCUUAUAGGCAGUCUUCUGUAGCAUUGCGGAAGAACAAUAAGCUAGGGAUGAGGUACUUUGGUCCAUUCAGCAUCAUUUACAAAAUUGGUGUGGUUGCUUAUAAACUUCAACUACCUGAGACAGCCUGUAUUCAUCCUAUCUUUCAUGUCUCGCAAUUGAAAGUGUUCAAAGGACUCACUGUUGUACCAUACUUGCCAUUACCCUUAACUACAGUGGAAGAAGGUCCUAUCAUUCAACCUGCAGCCGUGUUGAGUACUAGAAGCAUACUUAAAGGUGCCCAAGUGGUGGAACAAUUGUUGGUGAAAUGGAGUGAUAUGCCAAGUCAUGAAGCAACUUGGAAAGACAAAGAAGAUAUGCUGCAGAGUUACCCGAACUUCAAUCUUGAGGACCAGAUUGCUCUUGAAGGGGAGGGUAAUGUUAUGAGUGAGACAAGUCCAAUUGAUACAAGUGAGGUGAAUGAAGAAUGGAAUGAUGACGUGGCAAAGGAGAAGGCAGUGAGACGCAACAAGAGAAGCAAGGGAGAGCAUCCAAUGUGGACCCAGUUUGUUAGGAAUUGAGAUAAUAUUAAUAGUGGGGUGAAUUUGUAUGAGAACAUUCUCUCUCUCUCUCUCUCUUAUCUCUCUGAUUCACCACACAUUUGGAAUAUUGUACUAUUCGUCUUAUUUCCGUUAUUUCCCUUUUACCCAUUGUAUUUCUUCCCUGCUCAGAGUUGCAGUGGAAUUCAUAUUUCAAUUUCACUAUCCAUACUCAUCCUUCAUUGCUGCUAUUUUACUUGAUCCCAUUGCACUGCCAUUACCCUAUGUUGUUGUGGUUCUUGUUGUUUCUUGUUUGGUUUGUUAUGUUGUGUGGAUUGUUCUUAGGUUUAGGUUGUCGUAAGUUUGUGCUCAAAGUGUUUGUUGAAAUGCCUCAAAGAAGCUUGGAUGACAGAGAUGUGGUUUUGAGUGAGAUUCUUCUUAGGAUUGUUGCAUAUGAAACUCCUCAUUCCAGUCAACAAAUGAAUCAUCAACAAAUUGUGAGUUUAAUCAAACUGGAGAACCCGUAUAAUCGAAUUGCUCGUGAUAAAGCUAAAGAAAUGAUCUAUAAUCGGAUAGAGUUAAUGAUUGUGGUUCCAAAGUUCACUUAGUUGUUGCGGAAGAAUUUUGCCUAAUUACUUAGAUCAAGGAUUUGGAUUGAUAAAUUGUGGUUAUCCAUAGCUUCUUUGGCUUAAUUAUUAGCAUUGUUGUUAAAUUGUGGUUGGAGUAUAUCCUAAUACAAUAUCUUUGACUAUAUUUGUUUCCUCUCUUGAAUGAGAUUGUUUACGGUUAAAAAAAAAACAGACUUAGAAUUCGAUUCUAACAUUUUAUAACCACAAUGCAAUAGGUGACAGAUGGAAUAUACCACAACAUCAUACAAUACAACCUCACAUAAACCAAGUUGAAAAGAUUAAUUCCUAAUACAAUCAUCUUCUCUCUUUAUUACAAUCAUUUUCCAAAUGCUAUUAUUAAAAUAAACAAAUAAAAAAUUAAAGACAACGAGUAAUAGGAAUUAAGCACAAAUCAUGUUUUCUUCCAACAGUUAAUCCAAAUGUCUCAGUCAUAUCAAUUUCUUUAUUUUUCAUUUCAUUGGGAAGCUUCCAAUCAAAGUGGUAAAGUAAUUUAGCAAACGGUAAUUCAACGUUAGGUGAGGCAAAUGCUAUUCCUGGACACAUCCUCCUUCCGGCACCAAAUGGUAUGUAUUCAUAGUCUGUGCCUUUGAAAUCAAUUGGGUUAUUGAGAAAUCUCUCCGGUUUAAAACUCUCAGCUUCAACCCAAUUCCUUGGAUCUCUUCCAAUUGCCCAUGCAUUGACUAUGACCCUUGUCUUAGCUGGAAUCUCAUAGCCAUUGAUUUGACAUCUCUCUCUACACUCUCUUGGAGCUAACAAUGGUGCAAUAGGAUGCAACCUUAGUGUUUCUUUGAUGACACACUUUAAGUAUAUUAAUUGGUGCAACCCUGACUCAUCUACUACACUCCCUUUCUUGUCAAACACUUUUCUUACUUCACCUUGUACUUUUUCCAUUACUUUUGGAUUCUUUACUAACUCAGACAUCCCCCAUAACAAAACCCCUGAUGUUGUUUCGGUACCAGCAGCAAACAUGUCCUACAAAUAAUGUAUGGAAUAGUGAAGCUACUUUAAUUAAAAAAGACAAACAAUUUUGGUUGUAGACUAACCUGGAUGAGUGAUUUCAUAUUGUCGUCAGUCAAUGUAGGCUGUGAUUGAUCAUUUUCCUGUUGAAUCUUGAUAAGAGCGUCAACUAGAUCUUCAUCUUUGCCAUCUUUCUUGUGAAUGCUUUUGUGAUCGUUGAUGAUGUCUUGCAAUAUCAUAUCAAUCUUUCUAUGAAGUUUUUCAAUUCUGGUCUUCGCCUUACUCAUUCUUCGAAGCAUUUUAAUAGAAGGAUACAAAUCUGCAAUAUAAAUUCCUCCUACCAUAUUUAUUAUUUCAGUAAUGGCUGAUUUGAAUACUUGUUGGUGUUUGCUCCUUUUCCCAAAUGCUGCGCGCGCAACUAUCCCAUAUGUCAUUGAGAAGAUCUGAUGAGUGAGAUUAACAACCAAUCCUUCAUUUGCAGAUAUUGAUUUAACAAGAUCUGCCACCUCUUCUUCUCUUAUGGACCCAAAUGACUGGACACGCUUUACACUCAAUAGCUCUAUAACGCAUAUCUUCCGUAGUUGCCUCCAGUGCUCUCCGUAUAUAGAGAAUAAAAUAUCAGUAUUAUUGUAACUAAAUAUUGUGGACAACAUAAGGUUUGGCCUAUCACAAAAGUUGAGGUCUUGUGUUUUCAUAACCUCUUUGGCUAUUUCUGGUGAAGUAACUAUUAUGUAUGGUACCUCACCAAGUUUUAGGUACAUCAUAGGUCCAUACUUUUGUGCCAAGUUUUAAAGGAAUGAUGAGGCAUUGGGCUGCUGAUAAUCUGAUGUAUGUUUCCUAUGAAGGGUAUCUCCAUGGUCCAGGUGGUAAGUUGGGGUUAGAAUAUUUAGAAGUAGUCCAUGUUUUAACUAUUUUGAAUAGUAGGAAGAGGAAGAGAAAGGAUGCCAUUAAGGUAAAGCUAGAAAAAAUGUUGGGAAGCUCCAUGAUUGUAGAGCUAAGGGAAGAAGAAUGCAAAGAUGAAGGUAUCUAAACAAAACACUCACAUUAUAUAUUCGUUGCAUUU
rnacentral:lncRNA from 1 species